GGAGUUGUGGCUCAGCAGGAGAGGGCUCGCCUAGUGUGAGCGAGGUCCUGGGUUCGAUCCUCAGCACCA
rnacentral:tRNA from 1 species